rnacentral:rRNA from 1 species
GAUGAACGCUGGCGGCGUGCCUAAUACAUGCAAGUCGAGCGAACAGACGAGGAGCUUGCUCCUCUGACGUUAGCGGCGGACGGGUGAGUAACACGUGGAUAACCUACCUAUAAGACUGGGAUAACUUCGGGAAACCGGAGCUAAUACCGGAUAAUAUAUUCAACCGCAUGGUUCAAUAGUUAAAGACGGCUUUGCUGUCACUUAUAGAUGGAUCCGCGCCGCCUUAGCUAGUUGGUAAGGUAACGGCUUACCAAGGGGACGAUGCGUGGCCGACCUGGGGGGUGGUCAGGCACAAUGGAACCGGGGACCGGUUCAGAAUUCUUAGGGGAGCAGGAGGUGGGGAAGCUGCCGCAAGGGCCGAAAGCCUGACGGGGCAACGCGGGGGGGUUAAGGAGGGUUUUCGGAUCGUAAAACUCUUUUAUGGGGAAAAAAAAAAGGAGUAAAUAACCAUGCAGGUCUGGAGGUAACCAAAGAAGAAGGCCCCGCUAAACUCGGU